UUGGAUUGUUUUCUCUAACAUUUUAUUUUCUUCCUUGAAAUAGAGUGAAGAUAGUCACCAGAAAAGGAUAAAAUUUGCUGUGAAGAAUUGUAGAGAUGACGAUCAUUUAUCUUCGGAACAUAGAAAAUACUCUUUCAGCCUCUACUCUGGACCAGCAGAGCACUGAACUAGGUCUAGGUGCUGUGAUGGUGACAUGAAAGGAGUGUACACAAUUGAAAACUAUCAGCCUGCUGACCACAGAGCUAGGGAUUAAAUAUUGAUAUCAUUACUGUUCUUGUUGCCAUGAGUAUUUUAGUUGUUUCCACUGAAAAGCAUUCAACAAUUAUUAUUUAUCCACUAUUUAAUAGACAUUGACACUGGGACACACACAGUUAGAUUAGACUCUCUCUCAUCUUAAGCACAUGUUCUUGUGGAGGGACACGUGACAAAGGUUGGUUUUCUCAAGGUAUGGUAACACAGUGAUAGAAAUAU
rnacentral:lncRNA from 1 species